AACGAACGCUGGCGGCAGGCCUAACACAUGCAAGUCGAACGCUCCGCAAGGGGAGUGGCGCACGGGUGAGUAACACGUGGGAACCUACCUUCUGGUACGGAACAACCAAGGGAAACUUUGGCUAAGACCGUAUACGACCUCCGGGUGAAAGAUUGAUCGCCGGAAGAGGGGCCCGCGUCCGAUUAGGUAGUUGGUGAGGUAACGGCUCACCAAGCCUUCGAUCGGUAGCUGGUCUGAGAGGAUGACCAGCCACACUGGGACUGAGACACGGCCCAGACUCCUACGGGAGGCAGCAGUGGGGAAUAUUGGACAAUGGGCGCAAGCCUGAUCCAGCCAUGCCGCGUGAGUGAUGAAGGCCUUCGGUUGUAAG
rnacentral:rRNA from 1 species